GACGUAGGGCGCGAGCGUUGUCCGGAUUUAUUGGGCGUAAAGAGCUCGUAGGCGGUUUGUUGCGUCGGCUGUGAAAUCCCGAGGCUCAACCUCGGGUCUGCAGUCGAUACGAGCAAACUAGAGUGUUGCAGGGGAGACUGGAAUUCCUGGUGUAGCGGUGAAAUGCGCAGAUAUCAGGAGGAACACCGGUGGCGAAGGCGGGUCUCUGGAACGCAACUGACGCUGAGACGCGAAAGCGUGGGGAGCAAACAGG
rnacentral:rRNA from 1 species